rnacentral:rRNA from 1 species
GACGAACGCUGGCGGCGUGCUUAACACAUGCAAGUCGAACGGAAAGGCCCUGCUUUUGUGGGGUGCUCGAGUGGCGAACGGGUGAGUAACACGUGAGUAACCUGCCCUUGACUUUGGGAUAACUUCAGGAAACUGGGGCUAAUACCGGAUAGGAGCUCCUGCUGCAUUGUGGGGGUUGGAAAGUUUCGGCGGUUGGGGAUGGACUCGCGGCUUAUCAGCUUGUUGGUGGGGUAGUGGCUUACCAAGGCUUUGACGGGUAGCCGGCCUGAGAGGGUGACCGGCCACAUUGGGACUGAGAUACGGCCCAGACUCCUACGGGAGGCAGCAGUGGGGAAUAUUGCACAAUGGGCGGAAGCCUGAUGCAGCAACGCCGCGUGCGGGAUGACGGCCUUCGGGUUGUAAACCGCUUUCGCCUGUGACGAAGCGUGAGUGACGGUAAUGGGUGAAGAAGCACCGGCUAACUACGUG